UCAUAGUAACUUUUCGAAUCGCGCACGACUUUACGUGCGGCGAUGGUUCAUUCAAAUUUCUGCCCUAUCAAGUUUCGAUGGUAGGAUAGAGGCCUACCAUGCUUUUUACGGGUAACGGCGAAUUAGGGUUCGAUUCCGGAGAGGGAGCCUGAGAAACGGCUACCACAUCUAAGGAAGGCAGCAGGCGCGCAAAUUACCCAAUCCUGAUUCAGGGAGGUAGUGACAAUAAAUAACAAUCCAGGACUUUCGGUCUUUGGGAAUUUGGGAAUGAGAACAAUUUAAAUCUCUUAUCCGAGGAACAAUUUGGAGGGCAAAGUCUGGUGCCAGCAAGGCCGCGGGGUAAUUCCAGGCUCCAAUAGCCGGUAUUAUUAAAGGUUGUUUGGCCAGGUUUAAAUAGCUCCGGUAGGUUGAAUCCUUGGGGGGCUGGGUUUUGGGCGGGUCCGGCGGUCCUUUUUGAACGGUGGUAACUGGUCGG
rnacentral:rRNA from 1 species